UACAUUUUAGUGUAUGAUGCACCGAAAUCUUUGAAGUUUCUAGGAAUAGUUUAAUUCUAUUAAGUGUAA
rnacentral:tRNA from 1 species